AGAGCAGUCUCCUGACUCCUGUGAGGCGGGCGGCAGCCGGGUGAUUGUACCGUAAGCGGUGGAGCGAAUCCCCCCCGAGUGGGGUAACAUAAUGCGGAACGUGUUAGCUCGGUCUGAAAUCUCAUAUGUAAGGAAGGCCUCUCUUCCGAUCGGGCCGAAGACAGCCCCAGGUAAAGGAACGCAUUAUGCAUUCUUGUUUCAUCGCCAAUAAAAAGACCUAAGACGGCUAUGUUAAAUUGCAAAUUUAUUAUAAUAUUUCUUUACCAUACCUGGCUGAGGCAGGAUACAACACUAGCAUUCUGUCUAUAUAGAAAGAGUAAAAAAUAGCUUGCGUGGUUAACUAUAUCUUUU